UACGUAGGGUGCAAGCGUUGUCCGGAAUUAUUGGGCGUAAAGGGCUCGUAGGCGGUCUGUCGCGUCGGAUGUGAAAAUCCAGGGCUUAACCCUGGGCCUGCAUUCGAUACGGGCAGACUAGAGUUCGGUAGGGGAGACUGGAAUUCCUGGUGUAGCGGUGAAAUGCGCAGAUAUCAGGAGGAACACCGGUGGCGAAGGCGGGUCUCUAGGCCGACACUGACGCUGAGGAGCGAAAGCGUGGGGAGCGAACAGG
rnacentral:rRNA from 1 species